CUCGUAGGCGGCCUGAUAAGUAGGGGGUGAAAUCCUGUGGCUCAACUGCAGGGCUGCCUCCUAGACUGUCGGGCUCGAGCACGGUAGAGGCAGAUGGAAUUCCCGGUGUAGCGGUGGAAUGCGUAGAGAUCGGGAAGAACAUCGGUGGCGAAGGCGGUCUGCUGGGCCGUUGCUGACGCUGAGGCGCGACAGCGUGGGGAGCAAACA
rnacentral:rRNA from 1 species